rfam:Oryza nivara chromosome 3, whole genome shotgun sequence.
AAUAAGUGCAGUUUUGUAUUGUUUAUGUCUAACAUUUGACCGUUCGUCUUAUUUGAAAUUUUUUUACGAUUAAUAUUUUUAUUGUUAUUAGAUGAUAAAACAUAAAUAAUACGUGUGACUAAUUUUUUUUUAAUUUUCUCAUAAAUUUUUCAAAUAAGAUGGACAGUCAAACGUUAUACAUGGAUUUCCAUGACUACACUUAUU